GUGUGGACGCCAGUCUGCAUGGAGCCGACCUUGAAAUACCACCCUUUAAUGUUUGAUGUUCUAACGUGGACCCGUUACCCGGGUUGCGGACAGUGUCUGGUGGGUAGUUUGACUGGGGCGGUCUCCUCCUAAAGAGUAACGGAGGAGCACGAAGGUUGGCUAAUCCUGGUCGGACAUCAGGAGGUUAGUGCAAUGGCAUAAGCCAGCUUGACUGCGAGCGUGACGGCGCGAGCAGGUGCGAAAGCAGGUCAUAGUGAUCCGGUGGUUCUGAAUGGAAGGGCCAUCGCUCAACGGAUAAAAGGUACUCCGGGGAUAACAGGCUGAUACCGCCCAAGAGUUCAUAUCGACGGCGGUGUUUGGCACCUCGAUGUCGGCUCAUCACAUCCUGGGGCUGAAGUAGGUCCCAAGGGUAUGGCUGUUCGCCAUUUAAAGUGGUACGCGAGCUGGGUUUAGAACGUCGUGAGACAGUUCGGUCCCUAUCUGCCGUGGGCGCUGGAGAACUGAGGGGGGCUGCUCCUAGUACGAGAGGACCGGAGUGGACGCAUCACUGGUGUUCGGGUUGUCAUGCCAAUGGCACUGCCCGGUAGCUAAAUGCGGAAGAGAUAAGUGCUGAAAGCAUCUAAGCACGAAACUUGCCCCGAG
rnacentral:rRNA from 1 species